CUGCUAAGGAGUCUGUUUGNNUCAGUUGUAGAAUCACUGGUGAAUAAGGGGUGGGCAAGUUCUGGUGUCAGCCGCCGCGGUAAAACCAGCACCUCGAGUGGUCAGGAGGUUUAUUGGGCCUAAAGCAUCCGUUAAGCCGGUUGCAUAAGUUUUCGGUUAAAUCUAUGCGCUUAACGUAUAGGCCGCCGAAAAUACUGUGCAGCUAGNGGAGUGGGAGAGGUACACCGGUAACCUCCGGAAANUUUAAGGGAAAGGGGGUAAAAUCCUUUGAUCUAUUGAAGACCACCUGUGGGCGAAGCGGUGUACCAGACACGUUCGACGUGAGGGUGAAGUGGAGCACCGAUUAGAACGUAGUCACUGUACGACAGACUGGAUGCUGUUGCAUGCACCCGGACGUAUUCCGCUGGGGAGACGCAAUAUG
rnacentral:rRNA from 1 species